rnacentral:lncRNA from 1 species
CAUCGAUGCAUCUUGGACAGCAAGGUCUGUUCUCCAGCGGAAUAGCAGCAUUUCAUGUCACUACUGCCCCCCCCCACCACCAUCCUGCACACCCCCUCCUUUCUUCCACAUCCCAUUUAGAUGCAGGGUUUGCAUUCGCAAUGGCCGUCUGAGGAGUGCUUUCACGCGAGAUGCCCCGUAUGACCGUGACACAUUUUGCAUGAAGCGGCAGACGAGUCCAAGUAGGUUGGAAAGGACAAUCAUACGGAUAAGCCAGACCGAAUGGGCCACCACCUUCCAGCUGCUGUGCCAAGCCAUCAGAGAGAUCUACUGUCCUGGUUGACAAGGCUACAGUUAUGACACGUGUGCCCUGGACAAUUUGUUUGAGGACAACGUGCUUUUCCAGAACACGGUUCUCCCCCUUUGAGAACGUUGCACAGGUACCAGCUUGCUCUCUUCUGGCGUGAUGGGAAACGUGGUGACUUGUUGCAAGAUAUGUCCGAAGAUUUCUCUGGAUCGGACUCGACAGGAUGACACCAUCUCGCUGCUUUCCAAUGAGCCCAGUGCUUCUUGGUCUCCAGUUCUGUCAUUUCAUUCAGCACCGGAGCCUGUUUCAAAAAUGGGGCAGACGGUCCCUCCGCUUGAGUCUUGCUGUGCUGCCAGCAGUGAGAGUGGUGGAAGUGGGGCACGAAUGCCCGAUGUGGUGCAAAGUGUUGGUACUCCAACGAGUAUAUUAGGCCGAAAUCUUAACCCCUUUGCUUGCUGCAAUCCUUUGCUGCAAGGGAUUGGGCAACAUGAAGCAGACAUUGCUUGUGCUGCUUCUGCUGCAAUCACAGGCACUGGCCCUUCAAACUGGACCUGUAUGGUACCGCCAUCUGGCUGCCAAGCACAAUGGCCAUGGGUUCCCGGUGACCGCAGAGAGACGGCAUGUGGAAUCGAGCUCAACCCAUUUUCGCUUAAUGCCAUGCUGGCAGUUCAGGAUUGGAGGCGGACAUUUUCUGGUGAAGCAAGCGGAGACGUUGGUGCUGCAGGCUUGCACACCAUGCCACCUGUGGCAGGAGCUGGGGAAGCUCGUGCUAGUGUGCCACCUCUAAUCUAUGACAACCGUUUGAUGCAACUUGUGGGAGAACAUGGCUUUUGCAGUGGCUGUAUCGAAGCAGCACUCUGCAGUCAUUGUUCAGGCUCGAGGGCCGAUGGUCUUAACUUAAGUCGUGCAGGAGUCCCAUUGGGUCUUUCCUCCAAUUUUGGCAUGACAAGAGGAAGCACUGAGGCACCAUGUCUCCUUGCCACCCGAGGUACUAUUCCGGCAUCAGACAGUGUCUUACAUGGCAUAGAAACAGAGGCCCAGCAAGGUUAUAGAGCAUCACUGCCUCCCGGGUUCCGCAGUAUGAUUUCUGAUCCAGAUGCUUGGUCGGAUGGUGAUAGGCCAGUUGACAUUGGACAGUGCUGUGGAGAGAUGGGCUGCAGCUGUGAAAACAUCGUGAAGAGAGUUUGUGAUGUCAAGGCCAGGCAAGGUUUUGAGCAAACCUCAAGGUCUGUCACAGGCGAAAGGGCCACAUCAUUGUCUGAUAUCUUUUCUGUGCCACAAGCCACGGGAAAAGGUAAAAGGAGAAAGAAGAAGAGACGUGGAUCGUCUUCAAGGAAAGACCCAGGGUGUCCGACUGAGGAGCUGCCGGCUCUGGAUGCAGCCUUCCCUGUCAAGAUCUCUGCACCUGGUGGAGACAACUUUGAGCUGCAGGUUUGUAUUUGUCUGCACUUGCCUUUUGAAACCUAAAAACGGUGUUAUGUUGUUUGAGUGUCUAAUAUGGCCAAACUGUCAUCAUUCU